UGUUCUGUGGCGGAGUUGGUUAACGCGCCCUGUCUAGCGAACUUGGGGAGUCGUGGGUUCAAAUCCCACCAGAACUA
rnacentral:tRNA from 1 species